UUUCCAUCUGGGUACCAGCUCCCUUCAGCCUUGCAGGCGGUGGUGUGAGAGGCCAGCGGCAAGAGGAGACAGCUUGCUUGAAUUCAGCAGGUUUGUUUUUUGUACCGCUCCAGCCUAAAAUAAGUAGGAAAAAGAGAUCGACCAGAUCCGUACCUGUGUCCUCCUUGCUUCCUAGAAAUAAUUGCAUUCCCAUAUUCGGCAGGGAGCCGCAAAGAAGGAAGAGAAGCAUACACAAGAUGAAACCCUGCCAAAAAAUGGAAGGAAACCUAGAAAAGGAGAAUGAGCCAAAGCCUGAGGAAGAGCCAAAGCCUGAGGAGAAGCCAGAGGAGGGGGAGGAACCAGACGAGGAGGAAAAAUCAGAAGAAACUUUUCGGGAGAGGCUGAUUCAGUCUCUUCAGGAUUUUAAGGAGGAUAUACACAACAGGCAUCUGAGCAGUGAAGAUAUGUUUAGAGACGUGGAUGAGCUAGAUGAGAUCAGGAGAGUGAGAAACAAACUAAUAGUGAUGCGUUGGAAGGCCAAUCGAAGCCAUCCUUACCCCUAUUUAAUGUAGCUUGGCUUGGUUUCCUUUUUAUCUGCUGUUACCAUUGCAAUCUAGCUUUCUUUUGAUUAGCAUUUUCCUGCUAAGACCUUUGCCCAUCUUCCUGCGUUGAAUCUGUUGCUGUUAGUGGCUUUAGCGAUCUCUCUUGUUGUCUGUAUCUUACUGUUGAUUGUAUUUGAACCAAUCUAUAAGUCUCUGGCUUUUAACCGAAGAGCUUUACUGAUUUGUAAAAAAAAAAAUACAAACAUGAGCUUCUGAUGGGAAACAAAAUGAGAAAAGAUUACAAAAUAAUAUGGGAAUAUCAUAUUUUGAGAGACAGGAGUCCCUUUGUAUGUUACAUAUAUGCACAUAUAAACUUGUGAAAGAUGAAUGAUUUUUCUUCUGCUUAUUUGUAUUUGCCAUAUUCCUAAAAUGAACACGCAUUAUUCUUGCUAAAAAUAAUAAAGGUUUUAUAACUAAAAAGAAGCAUCCAA
rnacentral:lncRNA from 1 species